AGUCGAGGGGUAUAGUUCUUCGGAACUAGAGACCGGCGCACGGGUGCGUAACGCGUAUGCAAUCUACCUUUUACAGAGGGAUAGCCCAGAGAAAUUUGGAUUAAUGCCUCAUAGUAUGCAGAGUUGGCAUCAACAUUGCAUUAAAGUCACAACGGUAAAAGAUGAGCAUGCGUCCCAUUAGCUAGUUGGUAAGGUAACGGCUUACCAAGGCGACGAUGGGUAGGGGUCCUGAGAGGGAGAUCCCCCACACUGGUACUGAGACACGGACCAGACUCCUACGGGAGGCAGCAGUGAGGAAUAUUGGUCAAUGGACGCAAGUCUGAACCAGCCAUGCCGCGUGCAGGAUGACGGUCCUAUGGAUUGUAAACUGCUUUUGUACGAGAAGAAACCCUCCAACGUGUUGGAGCUUGACGGUAUCGUAAGAAUAAGGAUCGGCUAACUCCGUGCCAGCAGCCGCGGUAAUACGGAGGAUCCAAGCGUUAUCCGGAAUCAUUGGGUUUAAAGGGUCCGUAGGCGGUUUAGUAAGUCAGUGGUGAAAGCCCAUCGCUCAACGGUGGAACGGCCAUUGAUACUGCUAGACUUGAAUUAUUAGGAAGUAACUAGAAUAUGUAGUGUAGCGGUGAAAUGCUUAGAGAUUACAUGGAAUACCAAUUGCGAAGGCAGGUUACUACUAAUGGAUUGACGCUGAUGGACGAAAGCGUGGGUAGCGAACAGGAUUAGAUACCCUGGUAGUCCACGCCGUANACGAUGGAUACUAGCUGUUGGGAGCAAUCUCAGUGGCUAAGCGAAAGUGAUAAGUAUCCCACCUGGGGAGUACGUUUCGCAGAAUGAAACUCAAAGGAAUUGACGGGGGCCCGCACAAGCGGUGG
rnacentral:rRNA from 1 species